AACGAACGCUGGCGGCAGGCUUAACACAUGCAAGUCGAACGCCCCGCAAGGGGAGUGGCAGACGGGUGAGUAACGCGUGGGAAUCUACCUAGUUCUAAGGAACAACUGAGGGAAACUUCAGCUAAUACCGUAUACGCCCUACGGGGGAAAGAUUUAUCGGAAUUAGAUGAGCCCGCGUAAGAUUAGCUAGUUGGUGGGGUAAUGGCCUACCAAGGCGACGAUCUUUAGCUGGUCUGAGAGGAUGAUCAGCCACACUGGGACUGAGACACGGCCCAGACUCCUACGGGAGGCAGCAGUGGGGAAUAUUGGACAAUGGGCGCAAGCCUGAUCCAGCCAUGCCGCGUGAGUGAUGAAGGCCUUAGGGUUGUAAAGCUCUUUCAGUGGGGAAGAUAAUGACGGUACCCACAGAAGAAGCCCCGGCUAACUUCGUGCCAGCCGCCGCGGUAAGAC
rnacentral:rRNA from 1 species